rnacentral:lncRNA from 8 species
AUGGAAGAUCCAGCCAAUAUGAGAGAUGGGCCGUCUACCUGCCAGAAUACCUCUAAUGACUGCCUUGACUACCCUUCACUGACCCUGUCCCUCCCACACCUCCCAGAGAGGGGUGACGAGGAGUCUUCGAUAUUGAUGGAAGAUCCAGCCAAUAUGAGAGAUGAGCCAUCUACCUGCCAGAAUACCUCUAAUGACUGCCUUGACUACACUUCACUGACCCUGUCCCUCCCACACCUCCCAGAGAGGAGUGACGAGGAGGAAGAAAGGGGGAGUGUGUAUGGAUUGGCAACACUCACAUCCAAGGAACAGAGCUCUGGGAGGGAGUCAGAGGAGUGGAGCCAAUGGCAGGGGGAGUUCAGAGGUCAAAUCCGAGCCCUACGACACUGGCUGAAGAGCAUGGAGAUGAGGCUACCUCCUCUGGACCAUAUGGUCAGUUGGGUUGUUGAGUUGUUAGGUUCCUUACCUUUCUCUCUUUCACUUAUGUAACUCACAGCUUGAAUGUCAUUUGUUUUAUAUAUAUUUCUAAGAGAUGUUAUGUCAACAUUGCUAACAUCAGUCUUUCCCCGCUGUAAAAUUAUUCUCAGAGGUUUAGUGCACAUUACGCACUUAGCAGUAGAAUGAAUAGGGCCUUGGCAUAUUUAGUCAAGCAAAAUCCUUUUAGUGGAUUCUGCUGCAAGAGGCUAUCAACCUAUUGCCAUCAUCAUCAAUGGAUAUCCACGGAACCAUUAAAGAUGAACAUCGUCCUCCAUCCUCUGUUGCUGUGCAUCCAAUAACAGAGAGUAAAAGACACCGAAGGAGAGGGGGCUGGAUAGUAAGUCAAGGAGAAGAAUGAGUGAACAAUGUUGAUAUAUUAUCCAUUCACAGGAUGCUAGAGGACUGGACAAUACCCAUUCCCCAUGAUGCAACUUGUUGGUCUAACACUAAUUGUGUGGGCUGGGAGAAAUCCAAAGAAGAUUUCAAACAAAAACAGUGAUUUGAGGCUGGCCCCUAUUGUGUAAUCUACUGUCCCCAUGGCGCUGGGCUGAGCAUCACUAUCGAAUAAUAUGCCCUAAGUCCCAGAGAAAAAAAUGCUUUCUCACCCAGGGGGCUGGCAUGAUACCACUAAACAGAGAGCGAGAGAAAAACUGUGCAAACAACAGAGCAAGAGUCAGAAGGGAGAUACACAUUACACAUACAGGCGUAUGACUUCAGACAGAAGGAAAAAGAGCAAGGGAAUCAGUGAGAGAGAAGAAUCUAGAGCCAGACGGACUCAAGCGGAGAUCGAGGUGGUGGUCUUAGCUCCUCCAUAUCCUGCAGCGAGUUUCCUUUGGGGAGAGGGGCAGGCAGGCAAGCUCUUUUGUGCUCUGCUGGGACAGGGAGGCUGGAGAGACGCUCAUCAGUGGAGGCCCACUGCACACAUGAGCGAACACCCUGAAAGGACAUUAGACUCAGAUGGGAGGAUGAGGACAGAGAGAAAAAAAAGAAAAGAAAAACAGGAUCUUACAGACAGAAUACUUUGUUGUGUAUAGCCCAGCCAUUCGUCUUUUUUAUCUGUUAGUAACGCAUAAUGAGAUUUAAGUGUUGCACAAUAAUUAGUGUGUCUUGAAGGGUGAUAUUUUAUAUCACAAACAUUAACAGGGUUUUUUAAGACUGUGGAUAAUGAACAAGGGCCUCAACUCCGAUAAUUAGCCUAAUCCACAGAUUUAAAGCGGACUAGCAUGAAACAUUGAUAUGACCAGACUGAAGAGCACACCACGACUCUUUACAACACAAACACUGAUUGAAUCAAUCGCCAUACUGUGUUUUUCAGCAUCAUCUUGUUACUCUCUGCAUUAUUUAGCCCUUUUGUCGUCUUUGUGUUUAUUUUUUUGUGGUUGUGAGUACUGUGUUACCACAGAGUGAAGGAGGACCUUAUUGUGAUUGAUAGGUUUUGGUUGAUUUAGUGUUACUAAAAGCUCCAUUGUCCUAAUUGUUUGUUUGAUUGAUUAAUUGAUUAUAACGCUAAACGGCGUAACAACCGAACCUUUGUGUAGUCUUAACAUUCUGUAUACUCCCCUUGUCCUCAGGGUAAAUAAUGACCCGCCUUCUUAAACCCCUAAAAUAAAGCAGCUUAAUUGAAUUUUAAACCCUGAAUCUAGUCUUCCCUGUGGCUCAGUUGGUAGAGCAUGGUGUGUGCAACACCAGGGUUGUGGGUUCGAUUCCCACGGGGGGCCAGUACAAAAAAAAAAAACGAAAUGUAUGCAUUCACUACUGUAAGUUGCUUUGGAUAAGAGCGUCUGCUAAAUGACUAAAAUGUAAAUGUAUUUUGCAUGAAGAAGCAACCUGUUAUUCAUGACAAACUUUGUGAAUAUCUGGGUUUUCCCUCUUCACAAUGCAAAAAGACUGCAUUUAAUCAGUGGACACCACUCGUUUUUAUUAUUAUUAUUGCUAAAGGUACUGCAUAGGUGUAAACAUCAAUUUUUUAGCAAGAGAUAGCACUUGUAUAGCCUAAGAAAGUAGCAGAAAUGUGCAGAAAGUAGUUUUGAAUGCAUUUCAUUGAGAUAAGGCUACCUCAUCUGGACCAUUUUUUGGCAACAUUGUGAUAUAUUCUUAGAUACUGUCAACUACAAAAUACUAGUAUUUUCCCAUUUGUUUAACCAUUGUAUUAAACAACAACAAUAAAUAAGAAUAAAAUAAGAUAAUAGAUACAA